rnacentral:sRNA from 9 species
UAUCUCUCUGUACAGGGAAGGAUGAGAAGCUUCGAUUAAGGUUCGACUCGAGCGGAAGCGAGAGAACGUUGCCAACGGCAACGGCCCGAAGGGCGCGACGCGCCGAGUCAUCCUUCCCCCACCACAA